rnacentral:lncRNA from 1 species
AUGAUAUAUUACUGCCUUGGAGUUGGUGCCAGUAUGUAUUUCAGGAAGAGAGAAUGUUCUUGGUUGUAUGGUUUUAUUUGUUUAGUAUUGUUUUCAAAUGUAUGUAGACUUUUCUGUGCCUGUGAGGUGAAGAGUGAUAUUGUGUCAUCAACAGUUGUCAAGAGAAGAGAUGUGAUUAAAAGCAUAGUGAAGGUGCCCCAUCUGGAUUUCACAGUAACAUCCUCUCAGAAAGGAGUGCUAACUAUUUUUAACAACCAGAUGAGGGUUCUGGCAACCACCAAUGUUGAAUGA